AUGAUAAGGAAGUUCAAUGAGCGGACAAACAGAAAUUAUGUUCGCAAGCAAUUCAAGAAUAGGUGGGAUUUACUUAAAAAAGAGUACAAUUGUUGGAAGACGUUGAACCAAAAGGCAUCUGGCAUUGGAAUAGAUCCUGUUACUAGGAGCAUUGCGGCUACCGAUGAAUGGUGGGCGAAUGAGAUACAGAGGAAUGAGAUUGCCGCCAAGUUCCGAUAUGCUCCAUUAGUUGAUGAGCAAAGAAUGAGUUUUAUAUUUGAUGACCAUAGUGUGACGAAUGCAUAUGCAAGGGUCGCAACUCCCUCGUCUCAAGUUGAUGCUUCUCAAAUUAACAUUGAAUAG
rnacentral:rRNA from 1 species